CAACCUGGUAAUCUUUAGCCUAGAGCCAGUAGCGAGACUCCCUGGAACCAAAAUCGUGAGAUUAGGUUUAAGCAAAGGGUGAGCAAGGAUUCGAGCCGUAAUGCGAAAGCGUGAAGUUAUUGAGCCUCGUUAAAUUAUAUAUAAGUGGAUGCCGAUACUGUCCACCUAGUAGCAGGCAAGAUUGGUAAUACCGCAAUGGCAAGGUAUUAUGAGAAAUCCAUCGGGGUCAUAGGA
rnacentral:ncRNA from 1 species